GGUGUGAAGAGCCAGGCUUCUGCGGCCCCAGGCCACCAGCACUAGCCUGACCCUCCUGUCUACCAGCCAAGCAGGGAGGAGAGCUGCGGACAGGCAGUCCAACACUGUCUGCUUGCUAGAGGAGGAGGUCCAGGAAGGGCGUUGAAAGGGACUCCUCUCCGGCCGCUGGGCAGAGGUUGCUUGAGCCCUUGUGCAAGCUGAAAGCGACAUGUUAGCAAACCAACUUCCCAAGUCCACUAGGAAGGCCAGGGCAGGUCUCUUAUGGCCUAAGUCCUAAGCUGCUGUGACCCUUGUGACAUGACUCUCAAAGUUCUUCCCAGUUUACCCUGCGUGGCACAUGAAGGUCCAAGGGCUCACCAGCAUCACCCUUUCCCCUGGUCUGGUUCUGGGCUCGCUGCGGUGGUAAGGGGAUGCCAGUCUGAAGGCUGUACCAUGGGACACCAGCAGGAGAGCUCAAUCUGAGCCACCUGGAUGCCCAAGGAGCUACCACAGUAAUUCUUGAACUCUGAGAACAGAAUCCUUGCAUGUGGGCAAGGCUGCUGGGAACCUGCAGCUCAGUUUCCUUAUUUGAGAGGGGAAAGACUUGGCCAGAGAGGUGACGUGAAUGGCCAAGGUCACUUAGGGCAGUUGGUGGCACAGAAACACAGAUCCCGGAAAGCAGCGCAUUACAGCCUGCACCGUCUGGGAGUGAGCUUGGGGCGGCGACCAGACUGGCUCCUGCAAGAUUUGGAACAUCAGGAUGAUGUACCCACCUCUCAAGAUUGUUGUGAGAACUUACAGUAUUGGCGCGAAAAGGCCAGCGAUCACCAUCCGGGUAUUUUGCCUCUCUUGCUUUG